rnacentral:lncRNA from 1 species
GAUUGAUGAUGAUUUCUGACUCGGAUCGAUGUAUGCAUGCAGGUGCAAGAUGUACCCUGAGAUGGACGAGGGGGUGACCACCACCUCCCAGACCCUCAUCAUGGGCGUCGCCCCCUCCAAGGGCACCCCGUCGUUCGAGGCCGCCGCCGAGACCGGAGCCGACAACGGCGGGUGCAAGUGCGGCUCCAACUGCACCUGCAACCCGUGCACCUGCAAGUGAUCCAUCAAAUCAGGACAAGGAGAUGGCAUGGCAUGGAUGGACCUAAUGAAGGAGCACUAGUAGUAGUUAUGCAUGGUGUGUGCGUUUGUGUUCUCUUUUUAAUUGCCGCCGAGAAUAAGACGAGAUCUAUCGUAUCGUAUCGUAUCGUAUCGAGCUAGUUCAUGGCCCCUUGUGGCUUGUACCGUGUGGUGUGCAAGGCGCGCGUACGUCCUGUGUCUGUGACGCGCCUUUUCCUACUGUUCUAAGCUCCGUCCCGUGCCUUCCCGUUUUAUCUACAUAUAUGUAGACAACAAUAAUUUGGAGUUUCUCUCUAUGUAUGCAUGUGUAUCUGUAUCACUAUAUGUGUGGCGCCAGCUCUUUGCUAUUUUCUGUUUGUUCUUCUGUGCAAGUACAGGUAAAAUGGCGAUCCCCCAUCGCAACACAUAAAAAAUAAAAAUAAAAUAUGGCGACUCAAAUCAACCUCCCCCCUUUAGUUGUAGUACUAGAUGCUCAUGCGUUAAUUUGCUCUAUAAUUAGCAUCUCAAAAAACAAUCAAAUUUUAAAAUUGAUGGCAAAAUGUGUCUUUAGAUCCAAUCAACUGGGUUUAAACAAGUUUACUUCGCCGAGCUAGAGGCCCAGAGGCGGCAAUCAAGCUUUGCUCUGAAUAUAAUUUUGCAUUUCUUGUAAGGGUGUGCUUGUAAAGAAUUUUGAUAUUUUUUUUAAACCACAAUACAGUUGCAGAAGCUCACAAAUAUAUAAAUACACGCAUCUCUAUAAGCACACGCACACAACGCGGGUGAGGUUUGGCGGGUGAGGUUUGAUCGCUGGGGCUAUCUGCCCUCUUAUCCAUCCACCUAUAGAUUGAUUCUCAACUCUCAGGACCUGUGAUACUUGAUGCAUGGCCUUGGUCUUUUGGAAUAAAAGAAGAAUUCUAUGCCAUCCGUAAAAAGGACGCUCUGAUUGUGCUGAUUCGAUACCAGCCAUUUCAACCUGUUCUAGCGAAAUGCUCAUGUUGCUUUGGCUGGAGCUAGUUCAAACUCUUAGUAAUUUGACACUUGGACAGUAAGUUAAUUAUGAGGGUCUAUUAUGUGCACUGCACUUUGUGUUCCUUGGAUACAUUUUCACGGCUUGGAAGAAAAGGUUAACACAAGAAGAAAGAAUUGAGGGAAGUAAAAUAUGUCCAAACAACAUAAUGAUAUUGUGCUUGGAGCUACUGCAGAUUCGUUAUAAAAUGUCAUUGACACUAGAGACACGCUUGUGCAGAAAUUAGUUCGUUACUGUAUUCUAUUUGAAGUCGCUUAUUCUUGCCAUUAUUUCGACACACCGGCAUAUAUUUGAAUAGAAAAGGUUAAGAGAAGUGAAUUAUGCUCAAAAGAGCAAAAUAAUUCCACUGGUUUCUGCAACAAUGUAUUAACAAAAGAAAAACAAUAAUAUGUGGCUGCUGGGAUUCGAGCCCAGGUCUCCACUAAACUACAGCCACUUUGUUGUAAAUUUUACAAUGUAAACCUAUAUAUCCUCAACAUUGUUUGCAUGUACCGCAAACCUUUGUAGCUCUUGCGCAGGCAUCAGCUGAUGCAAAUCACCAACUUGCCAACCGACUGAGAAAUCAGUCGGCUGCACGGGUCUUUUUCAAACUAUGUAAGUUUAAGUUUUUUUUGGGUGGAAAUUACGAAGUCAACAACAAUCUUCUCUCAGGAACAAAAAAAAAUAA